rnacentral:rRNA from 1 species
AUUGAACGCUGGCGGCAUGCCUUACACAUGCAAGUCGAACGGCAGCACGGGGCAACCUGGUGGCGAGUGGCGAACGGGUGAGUAAUGCAUCGGAACGUGCCAUUGAGUGGGGGAUAACGUAGCGAAAGUUGCGCUAAUACCGCAUAUUCUGUGAGCAGGAAAGCAGGGGACCGCAAGGCCUUGCGCUCUUUGAGCGGCCGAUGUCAGAUUAGCUAGUUGGUGAGGUAACGGCUUACCAAGGCGACGAUCUGUAGCGGGUCUGGGAGGAUGAUCCGCCACACUGGAACUGAGACACGGUCCAGACUCCUACGGGAGGCAGCAGUGGGGGAUUUUGGACAAUGGGCGCAAGCCUGAUCCAGCCAUGCCGCGUGAGUGAAGAAGGCCUC